rnacentral:lncRNA from 1 species
CGCCAAUCAGGGUCCUCCACCGCUGCUCCGCUAGUGUCGCCGCACAGCUGUUCUCUGGAGGUCUCCUGUCAGGGAAGCGCCUCUGCAGCGCCUGGUUCAUGGACUGCAGCCCGGCGGGGAUGUUCUUGUCCCGGCCUGGGGCCUGCUCCGACCCCACCAGCUUCUUCCGCACUAGGUCCCGCCCUUUUCUAGCAUCUCCACCUCGCCGCCACCAACCCCCUCUGGUCCAACGAUCAGCUUCCCGGUCCUCAAGAGUCCCGAGGUUUCUCCUUCCUCUAGUGUAGUUCUGGAAAAAUGUUUAUUUCUGUACUACAGCCCAGACAGGUUUACUUUUUCUUCUUUUUGGCUCCCUUGAGCUUCGCCUCGAUCAGCUGUUGGGCCUGUUUCUUUAUCUCCGCCCGCGAAGGGACGUAACUAUGGUCCACAUCCGCAAACUGGAAGGUUUCUGAACAGGGUUGAUGACUCCAAGGUGUCCCUCACCUUUGUGUCAACCUGCAGGGCAGCACCCAUUAUCAUCUUGGAGAGCACAUGGGCUUUGUGGGGACCCCUCCAUGGCCCAGGGUUACCUCCUCAUUUCUGGACAACGUUUGCAUGCGCUCAGCCAGGAUGUUCUUCAUCUUCUUCUGGAUAGAGUUAAAGCUAUGGGGGAGGUAAGCACAGCAGUGAGGAGGAGGAGGGCACAGCAGUGAGGAGGAGAAGGAGGGCACAGCAGUGAGGUUGUCUGAAGGGGCUUUGGUCUCCGCAACAGAAUCUCCAUAUCCUCCAACGUAGACUCACCCCUUCGAAGCCUAUUUGGCUGAGUCCCACUCCUCUCGAAAGCUCCCGCGCUCAAUUGGAGCCCCGUCCCCGGUCACCUGAAGCUGCCGCAGUUCGUCCUUAGUAGCAUCAGGCCUUGGAGAUGGUCCAUUGAUCAUGCUGUGGAGCGGCGGCGGCUGAGCUUGGAGUCUGGCCCCUGGCACUGAUUGCUCAGGCAUAUCCCCCAGUGCCUCUUACUCGCCGCUAGCCCAGCAAGGAGACCGUUGGUCCUGGGACCCCUGAGCAGACCGCGCAGGACCCCUCCAGGCUCAUCCCUGCUCUGGUGUGAUGGGGUCCGCAAAGAGUCUCUGCUGUUGGCGCUAAGCACACUGUGUGGGUGUUGGGGAACCUGCCCUGGGCACCUGUUACAGAGGAACCCACCCCUUCAGGCCCUCUGGUCCAGAGAGAUGGGUAGGGUGUGUGCAUAAGUAGCCACCACCUAAUCUCAGGCUGCGAGGUGGGGGGGGGGGGGCGGGGGCGGGGCGGGCUUUUGCACCUUCUUAGCCAAAGCCCAGUCUUGGGCUCCUCGGCGGAGGUUGCUGCGCAGGAUUCCCAUUGUAGCUUUGUUCUGUGCUGUCUUCUCCUUCACACCCUGGAUCUGGAGUGCCCGACAUUGUUCUGUAGGUGGUGGAGGGAACAAGAUUUCCAGACUGUAGGGUAAAAGGACUGGCUGAGAAUCUCCGCAAAGCAUCCAGAGAGGUGCUCAGAUUGAGAUUGUCUUUGGAAUUUUAGCUCAUUAUGAUGGGGGACUAAGGUUCUCAAUGCCCAGAGAACCCUGAAAUUCCACCCUUCUGGAAUUCCAUUCUUAGGGUCAUCUCUGGGUUCUUGUGCUAAGGGAAAUGAGUCUUGAGACGGCUGCUUCAAGAGCUCUGUUGGACACUAGAGCCCUCUUGACAGUGGUAGUGAAUUUGUGAUGGCCUACUGCCAUACUCACCCGGUACCUCCCCAUAUCCUUGGACCCUAAGGGUCACAAAGCAGCUUGACUGAGCCUCCCACAUGUAAAGCCAAGUCAGUGCCCGGUGACCGCCAGGAUCCCUAAUGAUUGGCAAGGCUGGCUGUGUGCUUAUCAACGGUCAGGGAGCUCCUGGCCGGCCUGCCUGCUCAUGUGGAGCAUCUUUCCCAUGGUACCUGGAAUGAGCUGUACUUGGCAUAGGAGCCUUUCCCUUGGAAAUCUUGUCUCCAGAGUGUGGCCGCUGUUGAGCCUCCUCACUCACGGUCCAGCCCCCACCGUCCACAUCCAUGUCACAGAGCACAGUCAGUGGCCGGCAGUCAGGAAGAUGGAUGGUGUACCAGCCAGUCAGGAAGAUGCCCCGUGUCCCAUCUUUCCUGGGCUGCCCUGAAAGCCCCGUUCUCCUGUAAACACAAGGACUAAACUGGAUCUCAUCUCCUAGGCUGCCCUUCUAAAAUGUCCCAUCUCCUGCUGCCACAUGUGCAGGCAUAUGCAGGCCUGAACCCUGAGGUUCAUCGGAGUAGCCAGCUCUCUAACAGCAAUGGCUUCCCCCAUCUCCAACUGCAGCAAGCUGAGCACAGCCCAGGCGGGUUGUAUGCAGCAGGCGGCUUAUAUUGCAGCAGCUUCUGGCUGAGUCUCCAGUUCCCAACUCCCUGCAGAGGCACGGGGACUCAUGCACAACUGCUUCUGGUUUUCUAUGUUCUCUCAGGGAAUCUGAAGUAUUGGCUACAGACCCAGGCUUGCCUGCCACUUCAAGGUGCAGAGUGGUGAGUGCCACUACAAAGAAUAACUAUGUGAUGGAGAGGCUUUAUAAGCUGGCCCUGAGAAGUGUCCAGUGUGUAGCUUCCACUUGUGCAGCCGGAGCUGUCACCCUGGUCCGAUCAGUCUUGGAGUGUGCAUUCAAUAAACCAACCCUGUUUAACUGAGAC